CAAGUCGAACGCGAAAGCCUCCUUCGGGGGGCAAGUAGAGUGGCGCACGGGUGAGUAACACGUAGGUAAUCUACCUUUGGAUUGGGAAUAACCACCGGAAACGGUGGCUAAUACCGAAUAAUGCAGCGGCACCUAAUGGUGACAGUUGUUAAAGCGGGGGAUCGAAAGACCUCGCGUCUGAAGAGGAGCCUGCGGCAGAUUAGCUAGUUGGUAAGGUAACGGCUUACCAAGGCGAUGAUCUGUAGCCGGCCUGAGAGGGCGGUCGGCCACACUGACACUGACAUACGGGUCAGACUCCUACGGGAGGCAGCAGUCGGGAAUUUUGGGCAAUGGGCGAAAGCCUGACCCAGCAACGCCGCGUGAAGGAUGAAAUCCUUCGGGAUGUAAACUUCGCAAGAACGGGAAGAAUAAGUAAGGGUUAAUAUCUCUUACGAUGACGGUACUGUUUGUAAGCUCCGGCUAACUCCGUGCCAGCAGCCGCGGUAAUACGGGGGGAGCAAGCGUUGUUCGGAUUUACUGGGCGUAAAGGGCGCGUAGGCGGCCACCGCAAGUCGACUGUGAAAUCUCCGGGCUUAACCCGGAAAGGUCAGCCGAUACUGCGGGGCUAGAGUGCAGAAGGGGCAACUGGAAUUCUCGGUGUAGCGGUGAAAUGCGUAGAUAUCGAGAGGAACACCUGCGGCGAAGGCGGGUUGCUGGGCUGACACUGACGCUGAGGCGCGAAAGCUAGGGGAGCGAACGGGAUUAGAUACCCCGGUAGUCCUAGCCUUAAACGAUGAAUGCUUGGUGUCUGGGGUUUUAUAGUCCCCGGGUGCCGUCGCUAACGCUUUAAGCAUUCCGCCUGGGGAGUACGGUCGCAAGACUGAAACUCAAAGGAAUUGACGGGGACCCGCACAAGCGGUGGAGCAUGUGGUUUAAUUC
rnacentral:rRNA from 1 species